rnacentral:lncRNA from 1 species
CCAAGCACCCACAUUCUAGAAACAGUCUCUCCCCAGCUCACUUGGCUGAAGAUACUAAAGAGAACUAGAUGUUAUCUAGUGUUAUCCUGCUGAUCCCAAUUUCCUAUAGUUCUGGCACCAGAAAAUCCUGAAUGAUAGGUUUUUCUGAAGCUGCUGACAUCGGGUCAGCCCUCAACACCAUCACCUUUGGCCAUGUUCAGGAAGUACUCAAAGGUAACACUGGCAGCCAAGAGCAGGCCAAUCAAUGUCUGGCCACCACCCUAAUCCCACCUGGACAGUCACACCCCACCUCCCUAUGUGUGUUCGCACAGUGGGGGUGAUAUCAUGUGGGUCUGGCCUGUCCUGAGCAGAACCUGGUGUUGGGUUGUCAGAAACCCAGUGACCCAUCACGUUCACUCUUCAGAUCAUGGCUCAAAAGUCUGCAGAGCAGAGACAAGAGAUUGACAAAGAGGUGUUGAUGAGGGCAAUAAAAGCAAAGGUGGCUUUAUCACGGUGAGCUACUUCUCACAGGAGUCGGGAUCCACAUCUGCAGACUACACAAAAACAAACAACACAGAUUAAAAGCACAAUCACCAUUGAAA